CCUACGGGCGGCAGCAGUGAGGAAUCUUGGUCAAUGGACGAGAGUCUGAACCAGCCAAGUAGCGUGAAGGAUGACUGCCCUAUGGGUUGUAAACUUCUUUUAUAAAGGAAUAAAACGAGGCACGUGUGCCUUUUUGCAUGUACUUUAUGAAUAAGGAUCGGCUAACUCCGUGCCAGCAGCCGCGGUAAUACGGAGGAUCCGAGCGUUAUCCGGGUUUAUUGGGUUUAAAGGGAGCGUAGAUGGGUUGUUAAGUCAGUUGUGAAAGUUUGCGGCUCAACCGUAAAAUUGCAAUUGAUACUGGGAGUCUUGAGUACAGUUGAGGUAGGCGGAAUGCGUGGUGUAGCGGUGAAAUGCUUAGAUAUCACGAAGAACCCCGAUUGCGAAGGCAGCUUACUAAACUGUGACUGACAUUGAUGCUCGAAAGUGUGGGUAUCAAACAGGAUUAGAUACCCUUAGUC
rnacentral:rRNA from 1 species